GUAAGGUUAAGCCUCACGGUUCAUUAGUACCGGUUAGCUCAACGCAUCGCUGCGCUUACACACCCGGCCUAUCAACGUCGUCGUCUUCAACGUUCCUUCAGGAGACUUAAAGUCUCAGGGAGAACUCAUCUCGGGGCAAGUUUCGUGCUUAGAUGCUUUCAGCACUUAUCUCUUCCGCAUUUAGCUACCGGGCAGUGCCAUUGGCAUGACAACCCGAACACCAGUGAUGCGUCCACUCCGGUCCUCUCGUACUAGGAGCAGCCCCCCUCAAUUCUCCAGCGCCCACGGCAGAUAGGGACCGAACUGUCUCACGACGUUCUAAACCCAGCUCGCGUACCACUUUAAAUGGCGAACAGCCAUACCCUUGGGACCUACUUCAGCCCCAGGAUGUGAUGAGCCGACAUCGAGGUGCCAAACACCGCCGUCGAUAUGAACUCUUGGGCGGUAUCAGCCUGUUAUCCCCGGAGUACCUUUUAUCCGUUGAGCGAUGGCCCUUCCAUUCAGAACCACCGGAUCACUAUGACCUGCUUUCGCACCUGCUCGCGCCGUCACGCUCGCAGUCAAGCUAGCUUAUGCCAUUGCACUAACCUCCUGAUGUCCGACCAGGAUUAGCUAACCUUCGUGCUCCUCCGUUACGCUUUGGGAGGAGACCGCCCCAGUCAAACUACCCACCAGACACUGUCCGCAACCCCGGUAAGGGGCCAACGUUAGAACAUCAAACAUUAAAGGGUGGUAUUUCAAGGUUGGCUCCACGCAGACUGGCGUCCACGCUUCAAAGCCUCCCACCUAUCCUACACAUCAAGGCUCAAUGUUCAGUGUCAAGCUAUAGUAAAGGUUCACGGGGUCUUUCCGUCUUGCCGCGGGUACACUGCAUCUUCACAGCGAGUUCAAUUUCACUGAGUCUCGGGUGGAGACAGCCUGGCCAUCAUUACGCCAUUCGUGCAGGUCGGAACUUACCCGACAAGGAAUUUCGCUACCUUAGGACCGUUAUAGUUACGGCCGCCGUUUACCGGGGCUUCGAUCAAGAGCUUCUCCUUACGGAUAACCCCAUCAAUUAACCUUCCGGCACCGGGCAGGCGUCACACCGUAUACGUCCACUUUCGUGUUUGCACAGUGCUGUGUUUUUAAUAAACAGUUGCAGCCAGCUGGUAUCUUCGACUGGUCUCAGCUCCAUCCGCAGGGACUUCACCUACACACCAGCGUGCCUUCUCCCGAAGUUACGGCACCAUUUUGCCUAGUUCCUUCACCCGAGUUCUCUCAAGCGCCUUGGUAUUCUCUACCUGACCACCUGUGUCGGUUUGGGGUACGAUUUGAUGUUACCUGAUGCUUAGAGGCUUUUCCUGGAAGCAGGGCAUUUGUUACUUCAGCACCGUAGUGCCUCGUCAUCACACCUCAGCCUUGAUUAUCCGGAUUUGCCUGGACAACCAGCCUACAUGCUUAAACCGGGACAACCGUCGCCCGGCUAACAUAGCCUUCUCCGUCCCCCCUUCGCAGUAACACCAAGUACAGGAAUAUUAACCUGUUUCCCAUCGACUACGCCUUUCGGCCUCGCCUUAGGGGUCGACUCACCCUGCCCCGAUUAACGUUGGACAGGAACCCUUGGUCUUCCGGCGAGCGGGCUUUUCACCCGCUUUAUCGUUACUUAUGUCAGCAUUCGCACUUCUGAUACCUCCAGCAUGCCUCACAGCACACCUUCGCAGGCUUACAGAACGCUCCCCUACCCAACAACACAUAGUGUCGCUGCCGCAGCUUCGGUGCAUGGUUUAGCCCCGUUACAUCUUCCGCGCAGGCCGACUCGACCAGUGAGCUAUUACGCUUUCUUUAAAUGAUGGCUGCUUCUAAGCCAACAUCCUGGCUGUCUGUGCCUUCCCACAUCGUUUCCCACUUAACCAUGACUUUGGGACCUUAGCUGGCGGUCUGGGUUGUUUCCCUCUUCACGACGGACGUUAGCACCCGCCGUGUGUCUCCCGUGAUAACAUUCUUCGGCAUUCGUAGUUUGCAUCGGGUUGGUAAGUCGGGAUGACCCCCUAGCCGAAACAGUGCUCUACCCCCGAAGAUGAGUUCACGAGGCGCUACCUAAAUAGCUUUCGGGGAGAACCAGCUAUCUCCCGGUUUGAUUGGCCUUUCACCCCCAGCCACAAGUCAUCCGCUAAUUUUUCAACAUUAGUCGGUUCGGUCCUCCAGUUAGUGUUACCCAACCUUCAACCUGCCCAUGGCUAGAUCACCGGGUUUCGGGUCUAUACCCUGCAACUUAACGCCCAGUUAAGACUCGGUUUCCCUGCGGCUCCCCUAUACGGUUAACCUUGCUACAGAAUAUAAGUCGCUGACCCAUUAUACAAAAGGUACGCAGUCACACCCGAAGGUGCUCCCACUGCUUGUACGUACACGGUUUCAGGUUCUUUUUCACUCCCCUCGCCGGGGUUCUUUUCGCCUUUCCCUCACGGUACUGGUUCACUAUCGGUCAGUCAGGAGUAUUUAGCCUUGGAGGAUGGUCCCCCCAUAUUCAGACAGGAUACCACGUGUCCCGCCCUACUCUUCGAGUUCACAACCUGUGCAUUUUGGUGUACGGGACUAUCACCCUGUACCGUCGGACUUUCCAGACCGUUCCACUAACACACAAGCUGAUUCAGACUCUGGGCUGCUCCCCGUUCGCUCGCCGCUACUGGGGGAAUCUCGGUUGAUUUCUUUUCCUCGGGGUACUUAGAUGUUUCAGUUCCCCCGGUUCGCCUCGUUAACCUAUGUAUUCAGUUAACGAUAGUGUGACGAAUCACACUGGGUUUCCCCAUUCGGACAUCGCCGGUUAUAACGGUUCAUAUCACCUUACCGACGCUUUUCGCAGAUUAGCACGUCCUUCAUCGCCUCUGACUGCCAGGGCAUCCACCGUGUACGCUUAGUCACUUAACC
rnacentral:rRNA from 1 species